CACGUAGGGUGCGAGCGUUGUCCGGAAUUAUUGGGCGUAAAGAGCUCGUAGGCGGUGUGUCGCGUCGGCCGUGAAAACCUGCAGCUUAACUGUGGGCGUGCGGUCGAUACGGGCAUCACUGGAGUUCGGCAGGGGGGACUGGAAUUCCUGGUGUAGCGGUAAAAUGCGCAGAUAUCAGGAGGAACACCGGUGGCGAAGGCGGGUCUCUGGGCCGAUACUGACGCUGAGGAGCGAAAGCGUGGGGAGCGAACAGG
rnacentral:rRNA from 1 species